rnacentral:rRNA from 1 species
GUGGGGAAUAUUGGACAAUGGGCGCAAGCCUGAUCCAGCCAUGCCGCGUGGGUGAUGAAGGCCCUAGGGUUGUAAAGCCCUUUCGGCGGGGAAGAUAAUGACGGUACCCGCAGAAGAAGCCCCGGCUAACUUCGUGCCAGCAGCCGCGGUAAUACGAAGGGGGCUAGCGUUGCUCGGAAUCACUGGGCGUAAAGCGCACGUAGGCGGCUUGUUAAGUCAGGGGUGAAAUCCUGGAGCUCAACUCCAGAACUGCCUUUGAUACUGGCAAGCUUGAGUUCGGGAGAGGUGAGUGGAACUGCGAGUGUAGAGGUGAAAUUCGUAGAUAUUCGCAAGAACACCAGUGGCGAAGGCGGCUCACUGGCCCGAUACUGACGCUGAGGUGCGAAAGCGUGGGGAGCAAACAGGAUUAGAUACCCCUGUAGUCC